rnacentral:snRNA from 1 species
UUGCUCUAGCAGCACAUAUUGCAACAAUACGGAGAAGAUAGCACGGCCCCUGUGCAAGUAUGACGGGCAAAUUCAUGAAGUAUUGCAUAUUUUU